rnacentral:rRNA from 1 species
GCGGCGCAAGGGUGCGUAACACGUGGGAAAUCUGCCUCAAAGACUGGAACAACUCCGAGAAAUCGGAGCUAAUGCCGGAUGUGACUCUCGGAUGACAUCACCUGAGAUUCAAAGCCGGGGACCGAAAGGCCUGGCGCUUUGAGAUGAUCCCGCGUCCUAUCAGCUAGUUGGCGGGGUAACGGCCCACCAAGGCCAAGACGGGUAGCUGGUCUGAGAGGACGACCAGCCACACUGGAACUGAGACACGGUCCAGACACCUACGGGUGGCAGCAGUCGAGAAUUUUUCACAAUGGGCGAAAGCCUGAUGGAGCGACGCCGCGUGGGGGAUGAAAGGCUUCGGCCCGUAAACCCCUGUCAUGGGCGAUCAAAUGGCUGCCGUGAAUAUCGGCAGCAACUGAUGGUAGCUCAAGAGGAAGGGACGGCUAACUCUGUGCCAGCAGCCGCGGUAAUACAGAGGUCCCAAGCGUUGUUCGGAUUUACUGGGCGUAAAGGGUGCGUAGGCGGUCGGGUAAGUCUGAUAUGAAAUCCCGUGGCUCAACCACGGAACUGCAUUGGAAACUAUCCGGCUAGAGGGUGCGAGGGGGGACUGGAAUUCUCGGUGUAGCAGUGAAAUGCGUAGAUAUCGAGAGGAACACCAGUGGCGAAGGCGAGUCCCUGGAGCAUUCCUGACGCUGAGGCACGAAAGCUAGGGGAGCAAACAGGAUUAGAUACCCUGGUAGUCCUAGCCCUAAACGGUGCAUGUUUGCUGUAAGAGGAAUCGACCCCUCUUGUGGCGGAGCUAACGCGUUAAACAUGCCGCCUGGGAAGUACGGCCGCAAGGUUAAAACUCAAAGAAAUUGACGGGGGCCUGCACAAGCGGUGGAGUAUGUGGCUUAAUUCGACCACGCGAAGAACCUUACCUGGCCUUGACAUGUAUCUAGUAGAAGGGUGAAAGCCUGACGAGGUAGCAAUACCAGGAUACACAGGUGCUGCAUGGCUGUCGUCAGCUCGUGUCGUGAGAUGUUGGGUUAAGUCCCGCAACGAGCGCAACCCCUGCGUCCUGUUGCCACCCGGCCGAAAGGCCGGAGCACUCUGGACGGACUGCCUCGCUUCAACGAGGAGGAAGGUGGGGAUGACGUCAAGUCAGUAUGGCCCUUAUGGCCAGGGCUGCACACGUACUACAAUGCUCGGCACAAAGGGAAGCCAAACCGUAAGGUCGCGCUAAUCCCCGAUACCGAGCUCAGUUCAGAUUGUCGUCUGCAACUCGACGGCAUGAAGCUGGAAUCGCUAGUAAUGGCGCAUCAGCUACGGCGCCGUGAAUACGUUCCCAGGCCUUGUACACACCGCCCGUCACAUCAUGAAAGCCGGUUGUACCCGAAGUCGCCCCUUAAAAGGUGCCGAAGGUAUGGCUGGUGAUUGGGAUGAAGUCGUAACAAGGUA